GUAGUCUUUGUCUUGAUUCGCCUCAAGAUCGAUAAGAUGAGCAACCUUUAUACUUAUUGGGUGUUGAAUUUUUGUUGUUGUGGCUCAUGAAAGUUUGAGGGAAUAGAUAAUGGAAAUUUGUUCACACUCGGGACUUAACUUAAAAUAAUAGAUUUUUUUUUUUAAUAAUAAAUAAUAAUUAAAAUAGCAAUGAAAGGAAAGGUACAAACUUGAAGAAAUGGAAAUAGAAAGAACAUGGUUUCCCCCCCAUACUUAGACUAAACAUUGUCCCCAAUGUUUUAAGGAAAUGAAAUACAAUAUGGAAAGGGAAAAAAAAAAAGAAACUACAACUAAGGCUGCCUUCCGCCUCUGGUUCUUGGACCUGGUGAUCUCUGACGUAAGUCUAAGUUGUCGAACCUGCUGAACAACUCAGUAAACCGUUGGUCGGUUAUGGCAUUCCUAGCAUCCUGUUGUUGUUGCAUUUG
rnacentral:lncRNA from 1 species